GCAUAACGCGAAGAACCUUACCAAGGCUUGACAUACACGAGAACAUCCCAGAAAUGGGGACGUCUUGUACACUCGUGAACAGGUGGUGCAUGGUUGUCGUCAGCUCGUGUCGUGAGAUGUUGGGUUAAGUCCCGCAACGAGCGCAACCCUCGUUCUAUGUUGCCAGCACGUAAUGGUGGGAACUCAUGGGAUACUGCCGGGGUCGAACUCGGAGGAAGGUGGGGAUGACGUCAAAUCAUCAUGCCCCUUAUGUCUUGGGCUUCACGCAUGCUACAAUGGCCGGUACAAAGGGCUGCAAUACCGUGAGGUGGAGCGAAUCCCAAAAAGCCGGUCCCAGUUCGGAUUGAGGUCUGCAACUCGACCUCAUGAAGUCGGAGUCGCUAGUAAUCGCAGAUCAGCAACGCUGCGGUG
rnacentral:rRNA from 1 species